rnacentral:rRNA from 1 species
UACGGAGGGUGCAAGCGUUGUUCGGAAUCACUGGGCGUAAAGGGCGCGUAGGCGGCCUUCUAAGUCGAACGUGAAAUCCCCGGGCUCAACCCGGGAACUGCGUCCGAUACUGGAAGGCUUGAAUCCGGGAGAGGGAUGCAGAAUUCCAGGUGUAGCGGUGAAAUGCGCAGAUAUCAGGAGGAACACCGGUGGCGAAGGCGGUUCUCUGGGAAUGUCCUGACGCUGAGGAGCGAAAGUGUGGGGAGCGAACAGG